CCCAAGAGUUCACAUCGACGGAGUGGUUUGGCACCUCGAUGUCGGCUCAUCGCAUCCUGGGGCUGUAGCAGGUCCCAAGGGUUGGGCUGUUCGCCCAUUAAAGCGGUACGCGAGCUGGGUUCAGAACGUCGUGAGACAGUUCGGUCCCUAUCCGGCGCGGGCGCAGGAUAUUUGAGAGGAGCCGUCCCUAGUACGAGAGGACCGGGAUGGACUGGCCGCUGGUGUAUCUGUUAGGAAUCAAUCCUAUGGCAGAGUAGCCAAGCCGGGAGGGGAUAAACGCUGAAGGCAUCUAAGCGUGAAGCCCCCCUCAAGAUGAGAUAUCCCAUUCGUAAGAAGUAAGACCCCUUAGAGAGUAUGAGGUUGAUAGGGCAGAGGUGGAAGUGCAGUAAUGCAUGCAGCUGACUGUUACUAAUAGGUCGAGGGCUUAUCCA
rnacentral:rRNA from 1 species